AUACUCUGGUUUCUCUUCAAAUCGCAUAAAUCUUUCGCCUUUUACUAAAGAUUUCCGUGGAGAGGAACAACUGUGAGUUUUAACCUAAUUUGUUGAGGCCUUGUAUUUGACAAGGCU
rnacentral:snRNA from 1 species